rnacentral:rRNA from 1 species
UACGGGGGGGGCAAGCGUUGUUCGGAAUUACUGGGCGUAAAGGGUUUGUAGGUGGCUUGUUAAGUCAGACGUGAAAUCCCUCAGCUUAACUGGGGAACUGCGUCUGAUACUGGUGAGCUUGAGUGCAGGAGAGGAACGCGGAAUUCCAGGUGUAGCGGUGAAAUGCGUAGAUAUCUGGAGGAACACCGGUGGCGAAGGCGGCUCUCUGGACCACAACUGACGCUGAGGCGCGAAAGCUAGGGGAGCAAACAGG